GUGGGGGAUCUUGCGCAAUGGGCGAAAGCCUGACGCAGCGACACCGCGUGAGGGACGAAGGCCCUCGGGUUGUAAACCUCUUUCGGCAGGGACGAAGCGAACGUGACGGUACCUGCAGAAGAAGCUCCGGCUAACUACGUGCCAGCAGCCGCGGUAAGACGUAGGGAGCGAGCGUUGUCCGGAUUCAUUGGGCGUAAAGAGCGCGCAGGCGGUUCGGUAAGUCGGUCGUGAAAUUCCGGGGCUCAACCCCGGGACUGCGUCCGAUACUGCCGGACUAGAGGUAGGUAGGGGAGAUCGGAAUUCCUGGUGUAGCGGUGGAAUGCGCAGAUAUCAGGAGGAACACCGGUGGCGAAGGCGGAUCUCUGGGCCUUACCUGACGCUCAGGCGCGAAAGCUAGGGGAGCGAACAGGAUUAGAAACCCGUGUAGUCC
rnacentral:rRNA from 1 species